GGGGAGUUAGUUCAGUUGGUUAGAACGCCGGCCUGUCACGCCGGAGGCCACGGGUUCAAGUCCCGUACUCCUCGCCAAUA
rnacentral:tRNA from 1 species